CUCCUUUGACGUUAGCGGCGGACGGGUGAGUAACACGUGGAUAACCUACCUAUAAGACUGGGAUAACUUCGGGAAACCGGAGCUAAUACCGGAUAAUAUUUCGAACCGCAUGGUUCGAUAGUGAAAGGUGGUUUUGCUAUCACUUAUAGAUGGACCCGCGCCGUAUUAGCUAGUUGGUAAGGUAACGGCUUACCAAGACGACGAUACGUAGCCGACCUGAGAGGGUGAUCGGCCACACUGGAACUGAGACACGGUCCAGACUCCUACGGGAGGCAGCAGG
rnacentral:rRNA from 1 species